rnacentral:rRNA from 1 species
UACGAAGGGGGCGAGCGUUGUUCGGAUUUACUGGGCGUAAAGGGCGCGCAGGCGGCUCAUUUUGUCAGGCGUGAAAGCCCCGGGCUUAACCUGGGAACUGCGUUUGAUACGGAUGGGCUAGAGUUCGGGAGAGGAGAGUGGAAUUCCCAGUGUAGAGGUGAAAUUCGUAGAUAUUGGGAAGAACACCGGUGGCGAAGGCGGCUCUCUGGACCGAGACUGACGCUGAGGCGUGAAAGCGUGGGGAGCAAACAGG